rnacentral:rRNA from 1 species
UACGAAGGGGGCUAGCGUUGCUCGGAAUCACUGGGCGUAAAGGGCGCGUAGGCGGCCAUUCAAGUCGGGGGUGAAAGCCUGUGGCUCAACCACAGAAUUGCCUUCGAUACUGUUUGGCUUGAGUUUGGUAGAGGGGGGGUAGAAUUCCACGUGUAGCAGUGAAAUGCGUAGAGAUGUGGAGGAACACCGAUGGCGAAGGCAGGUCUCUGGGCCAUUACUGACACUGAGAAGCGAAAGCAUGGGGAGCGAACAGG